AUGCGUGUGCAAAGUUUCAUGACUUUUCGACUAUGUUUAGGCCCUCAAAAAUGCGAUUCAUUUUGGAGAAGAAGAAGAAGAAGAAGAAGAAGAAGAAGAAGAAGAAUAAUAAUAAAUAUAGCUGCAAGCAGCGAUGGCGGGCCCGAGCCGUCAGCGCAAACGCCACCCCGGUGGCAUCAGGAAAGCUGUGCCCAGCGGACACAUACACAGUAACCCUCUAGCACAGGGGUGUCCAACCCUGUUAAUGGCGAUCAACUGUCCUGUAAAGUUUAGCUCCAACCCUACUCAAACACACCUGAACCAACUAAUGAAUGUCUUCAGGAUAGCUUGAAAAUUAAAAGUAGGUGUGACUGAUUAGAGUUGGAGCUGAACUUUGCAGGACCAGGAACAGGAUUGGACACACCUGAUUUAGCAGUUUGGAAUUAAGGCAUACAGCAAUGAAAGGGUUAAUCCGAACCAUCAAGAGACACACACACAACACAACAUAUAAAACUUAAGUAACACUUCCAAUAAGGUUUCAGUUAUUAACAUUAAUUAUAUUAAAUUUCAUUAACAACAAUUGUAUGGCAUUUAUUAAUGUGAGUCUCUCUCUAUCUGUCUUUCUCACUCACUCACACACACACACACACACACACACACACACACACACACACACAAAGAACUAUAUAUAUAGGAUAAGGAUUUAGUUUUUAACAUUAUAUAAGUUAACAUGUACAUCAUUUAUAUAGCAUUUAUGAAUCUUAGUUAAUGUUAUGUUCAAAAUGGAUUACUACAUUAUUAAUUACAAUUUAUAGUUAAUGUACAUCAGUUACUGUACCAUGAAUUAACAUAUUAUUUUUUUUUUACUAACACAAAGAAAUGCAGUAAAAAUAUGUUGUUAAUACUUAGCUUGUACUAAUGUUAAUGACUAUAUUAUUUAACUAUAUCAUUUAACACACACACAUAUAUGUUAAUUAAAGCUUAGGUAAAAAAUAUGAUCUAUAAACAUUUGUGAAAUGAUUAUAUAAAACUAUAUUAGCCGUCAAAUUCAUUAGCUUUUUAAAAUACAUAUUACUUUUCUUUGAAAGAUUUUUAUAAAUGAUUUAAAUGGUCUAUACACGUUUCUAAAACAAUUAUUUAAAAGUAAUCCUAUAGCGCCAUCUGGUGGUGGUCAUGAUUGGUAUUACACACUGCACGUUUGGUGUUGCUAUCUGAACCAGUCAGAAUGAAGUGCACCUAAAUGGAGCGCGAGAACAGAACAUAUGCUUCCGUAAAUCCAGGUUCACACGCUGUCUGUUAAUGCGUAUUUUUUCCGAGCCCAUGUUAAUGGAUCAGAGCGUUCACACUGCACACGGUAAAGGAAGUGAACAAAAAAGGUUAGAAAUAAAAAGGUGCGAAAAGAAUGAAUAUCUAGCUCAUGAGCACAGAGAGAGUUGUGAGUUCGCAGGACACAGUUUGAGCAGAUGAGACGCGUUUUAAGUGUGCGCGCUCUCUCCGAGCGAGAGCAGCAUGUAUAUGAGCACGCGUGUCUGUUUUUGUGACAAAGAAAAGGAAAUCUGUGUGCGAACGGAUAGAUUCGCGCUCGCGCAUUAUUUUAAUGUGCUUUCGCGUUACAAUAACUCGCUCUCGCUGCUGCUUCUGCACCGCAUACACAUACUGUAUACGCACUGCAGAGGAGUACGUGUGAACCUGUAUAAUGUAUAAAAAUCUAUUUCAACACGACGCACCACUACAAUGAGCUCUAUGACCAAUGCAUGACAAGAAAACAUGACUAAUAAUUCAGCACUCCUGAAUAUAAGGAGUUUUUCACUUCCAGUCUUCAAGGACAAUUAUAUAUCACUCAUAAAUGAUUAAAUACCAAAUGCAGGCGCGCUGGAAGCUGUUUCAUGCGGGGGGGGCUGAGGGCUGGGUUGGAAAAUAUGUGACGUCAUUAUGUUGUGACUGACGACAUGAAAUUUCUCUACUAGUCUUCUCCCCUGGCGUGAUUGUUACUGUUUUAUACACAAAAAUUGUACUGUUUAGGCUUUUUAAAAAAAAAAAAAAAAAAAAAAAAAAAAAUUUGGUAUGUGUUGUAGCCAUUAAAGAAAACAUAUUUGGUUUCAUAUUUGUUUAAAUAUUAUAGGCUAAUGUAAUUUUUUUAUUUAUUUAAUCAAUCUUUAUUAUGAAAGUGAGCAUGCAGCAUGAGAAAGAUAUGAUACAUCAUGCUCAAUAGCCUAUGAGACAUGGAGUGGGUAAGACAUGAUUUUGACCACUUUAUUGAGUUUUUGUUUUGUAGAAAGACUCUGUUUAAAAGAUUUUCGUUUUGUAUAAAUUGUAUCUUAAUUUUGAUCAAUAUUUUAUCAACCCAUUGCCUGUAUUUAAUAAACAAGCAAAUAUAUUAGCAGACAAUGUAAUAAGGUGCCGGCACAUCACUUGUAUUGCACGUGAACUGGAGGGCGCAGAAACUCAGCUUGUGCCUCACAGACAGUUUUGAGAAAUAUAGGCUAUCUAUUAUAGAAAGCUUAAAAAUGUCUACUUUUAAACGAAAAUAUUCAAAACGAAAAUAAAUAGGCUACUCUCUGAAUAUGUAGGCCUAAUCCAUAUGAAAUGUGCAUUUCUCUCUGGCGUUCAUGGCGAGUCCGCAUCGUCUUUGCAGCGACACAGAAAACACCAUUUUAUUAAUAAACAAUUAAAUGUCUGCUUGCUAUUUUUGACAAAUUCAUAAUCAUUUCUUCAGCCGGUUCUUUGUGGCAAAAUUAUGCAUGCGGUCGUGCGCUUGAGAGCGGCUAGUAAACGCCCAUUAUUCUGACGGUGACGGAAGCAUUCCUGAGGAGGCUAGGUUAGUCUUUUAUCAACGAAAUAUUAAAAUAAUUAAUCAUUAGUUUAUAUCUUAUACACUAUAUCUUAAUGCCACAUUAAACACAUUGUUAUGUCUGUUUUUUAUUUUUUUAUUUUUAUUUUUUUCACGUUUUUAAGUACAAUAUUAGGUUAGUCCACAGCCCCCCACCAGGGGGGGCUGAUGCUAUGACGGGGGGGGCUGCAGCCCCCGCAGCACCCCCCUUCCCGCGCCAUUGACCAAAUGUAUAGUAUUUAUUAAGAUUGAUGUGAUUUGGAAUUGGUAAAAUGUGCUUGGAAAAAAAUAUAAGAAUAUCAAUGUGACUAAUUAUUAUGCACUCAAUGAAAAAGCAUUUUUAAUGAUUUUAUUGAUUUAUAAGCAUUUGUAAAAUAUUUUUGCCUGCAUUACAGCUAAGUCUACGUUUUGUUUUUAUAUCUUUUUAUGUUGCAAUUAACAUAAUUCUUAACCUAAUUAUUUAAAAUCAUGUUGUCUGUGCCCUACAAAUUGUACUAAGUUUUUUUUUGUCCCUAAAACUGACAGAAAAGGAUAAGGCCUAAGAGAUUUCUUAAGCUGUAAUGAUAAAAAAAACAACAACAACACACAAUUACUGAUUUAUUUAUUUUUUCCUGGUGAUUAAAGAGAUGUUAACUCUCUCUCUGUCUCUCUCUGUCCCUCUCUCAGCCAGCACCCCCCUCCCCCUCCCUACCCUCACACCAGAGAGUGGUCUCAGAGUCAGAUCAGAUGUCAGACAGUUUUUUAAUUUUCUGUUAUCCAUACAGUGUUGUAAAGUCGUGAAACUAUGCAUAUUUCCUCAGAAUGACUUCUACUCUGUAUGAAAAAUGGUUUUGAAGUGUUUGCAAGUUGCAAUUUAAAAAUACAAGACAAGUAAUGUUUCCCUUUUUACUGUUAUUUCAAAAAAUCACCACGGCAAAACCGUUCAAGCUAUCCAAAAUCCAUUCGCAAUUUAGGUUCCUCAAUGUUUUGUCAUCAUGUAGACAAAGUUUGGUGUGUAUAGUGUAAUUUUCCUCUGAGCAGUAUGCAUUAAUUCACAGCAAUAUUUUUCCAAAAAUCCACAUUUAAACCAAAAUAGCCGACUUCCUGUUGGUCGUAGCUGAUGACUGUAAAUUAGAAAGUUGUCCGUCUUGAUAAGAACAAUAUAUGUACCGAGUUUGGUGUCUGUAGCUAAAACUAACCCCCCGACUUUUGACAAAAGGUGGCGCUAUAGAGUGCCUCAUCCACGCCCUUUCAUGUGCUUUUUCCAUUGUCUAGGUAUCAUUAAUACUGAUAUGUGUUUUGAGUUUCAUGUAAUUCUGAGCAUUUUAUCUGCCUCAAAAUCACCAGAAUAGAAUAUUCAAGUUUGAAGUGUUGCCAUGGCAACACUAUAUUAGAUAUCAAUAUCCCCACAACAGAUUUACAUCGGCCGUGUUUUGUCAUUAUUCUGAUGAAGUUUGAAGCAAAUCGAGUGAAAAUAAGAUGCUGAAUUCAAAGCAUUUUGAAAAUGACACACUUCCUGCUGCCAGUUGGUGGCGCUAUAACUUUGACUCCUAAUAGUCACAUCUAUGCGAUCGGCAUCAUACAUCGAACAAUCCGAUGAAGUU
ensembl:lncRNA